GCACACCAAAUGGAUGCACACCAAGACUGAACAUGCUCCACUUGCAAAAUGGAGUGUAUCGAACCAUUGGCAGGAUGAUAUCUACAAUAAUAGUGCAGUGUAGUGUAGUGGACUACAUUGUGUCUGGGGACAUCCUUCAAGUUCACGUGCCACCUGAUGACAUAGGUGACCCUGAUUUAAGGGAAAACCUCAAUAAGGUUCAACAAGCAACCUUGCAGGAUGAUUUGGAGAAAGCAGUCAGCUGCUGUGACUCAUGGCGAUAUCAAGUAGAAGGGCUUCCACUCGUAGUCACCAUGGCCAACAGAGAUGUGUUUGUGAAAAAUGCAGUUCUAUACCAUACUGUUGUGCAACGGCAGAGCUGUCUUGAUCAACUCACUGAUGGCUUGUCUCACUAUGGAGUUUUAUCACUCCUGAGAGAGAACCCCAGCUUGCGUGUGCUGCUUAACAUACCAGGAGAGAACAAAGGUCAAGAAGCUGAUUUUGUAGCUGGUAUUCUCAAACCAAGCUACUCCGUACUGGGGAGCAACAGAAGAGCUAAGGAGGAGUUGAUAGUGGUCAAAUUUAGGGAGUUUCUCCAAUGUGUUGAAAAUAAAGAGCUGAGAUACACUUAUGGGGACAGGACAGGAUGAUGAGGAGGCAUUCCUGAAGACUUUGAGCCCUGGUCACAUCCUGUUUUCUUACAAAAAAUGUUUACAUCUGUGAGGACUAUCUGACCCUUCUUUAUACUGUAAGAUGUUGUACUGUAUGAUUGGAAGGAUAUGGAAAUCAGUCAUCGCAGUAAUAAUAAAUUAAUAAAUGUAGUUACUUUAACCCUGUGAUGUGUUUUUUUUAACAAUGAUUGUAUGAAUUUAACUACAAUCGUUUUUUUUUUUUUUUUUACAUAUACUGAAUCAGUAGUGAAGGAAUAAAAUAUGUACAUUUACUAUAGUAAGGUACUUCUGUAGAAAUUUGAACUACUUUUCACAUUUAAAUUUUGAAUUCCCCUCCUCACCAUUGAAAGGCUUGUAUAUUCAGAUUUAUUGCUGUUGAAUAUUUUGUGCUAAACUGAAGAUUGUAUUUUCAUAUGUUGAAAAAAAUUCACUUCACUUGACAAAACCUUUUGGAUUAGCUGCAAAAUGCAAAAAUGUUUUUUUCUUACCUUUAUGUACAGCCAUCUUCUCAGAAAUACAUAACAAAGAUACAAGUUAUGUAUGUAAUACACAAGAUAUUAUAAAACACUGACAGUUAUCUUUUUACUUCACUGAGUACUUUUACUUUGCAUAUUUAGGUACUUUAAAAUCAGGAACAAUGUAGUGGAAGACAGUUAUGCAUCAAUACAUCUAUAGAGCCCUGAAAAGCAUGUCACUGUUCCUUCACAUAACAUGAGUCCUCUUGUAUUUAUCCACACUACCAUUGCUUUAGACUUGACAGAAAACUAACAGAUGUAAAAGUAUGUCUGUAGCCUUUUUAACACUGACAUCAUAUAAGUGCCAUCAUGUAAUUUUCUAAAAUCUAUAUGCUGACAAGAGGCUGUAAAUCUUGUAGUUCAAGAAGCACAACAAAACAUCAGUAUUUGUUUCACAGUGUACUUUUGAAAGUCCAAUAAGGCUAAUGUUACCCAGUUGUCCAUGUCAUGCUAAGAUCACACAUUUACAAGUUUUUCAAAAAUAAA
rnacentral:lncRNA from 1 species